AGCAGCCGCGGUAAUUCCAGCUCCAAUAGCGUAUAUUAAAGUUGUUGCAGUUAAAAAAGCUCGUAGUUGAAUUUCGGGAUCAGUACGUUGGUCGUGCUUACGUACGUACUGGCGUUACUGGUUCCUACCUUCUGACGAACCGUCAUGUCAUUAAUUUGGUGUGGCGGGGAAUCAGGACUGUUACUUUGAAAAAAUUAGAGUGUUUAAAGCAGGCUCGCGCUUGAAUACAUUAGCAUGGAAUAAUGAAAUAGGACGUUCGAUCCUAUUUUGUUGGUUUCUAGGAUUGACGUAAUGAUUAAUAGGGAUAGUUGGGGGCAUUAGUAUUCAAUUGUCAGAGGCGAAAUUCUUGGAUUUAUUGAAGACUAACUACUGCGAAAGCAUUUGCCAAGGAUGUUUUCAUUAAUCAAGAACGAAAGUUAGGGGAUCGAAGACGAUCAGAUACCGUCGUAGUCUUAACCAUAAACUAUGCCGACUAGGGAUCGGAUGAUGUUAAUUUUUUAAUGACUCAUUCGGCGCCUUA
rnacentral:rRNA from 1 species